rnacentral:rRNA from 1 species
GAUGAACGCUGGCGGCGUGCCUAAUACAUGCAAGUCGAGCGAACGGACGAGAAGCUUGCUUCUCUGAUGUUAGCGGCGGACGGGUGAGUAACACGUGGAUAACCUACCUAUAAGACUGGGAUAACUUCGGGAAACCGGAGCUAAUACCGGAUAAUAUUUUGAACCGCAGGGUUCAAAAGUGAAAGACGGUCUUGCUGUCACUUAUAGAUGGAUCCGCGCUGCAUUAGCUAGUUGGUAAGGUAACGGCUUACCAAGGCAACGAUGCAUAGCCGACCUGAGAGGGUGAUCGGCCACACUGGAACUGAGACACGGUCCAGACUCCUACGGGAGGCAGCAGUAGGGAAUAUUCCGCAAUGGGCGAAAGCCUGACGGAGCAACGCCGCGUGAGUGAUGAAGGUCUUCGGAUCGUAAAACUCUGUUAUUAGGGAAGAACAUAUGUGUAAGUAACUCUGCACGUCUUGACGGUACCUAAUCAGAAAGCCCCGGCUAACUACGUG